rfam:Triticum aestivum genome assembly, contig: Triticum_aestivum_CS42_TGACv1_scaffold_223005_3B
AACAUACUCCCUCCAUCCCAAAUUACUUGUCUUAGAUUUCUUUUAUAUACGAAUGUAUCUAACACUAAAACGUGUCUAGAUACAUCUGUAUCUAGACAAAUCUAAGACAAGUAUUUCGGGAUGUAGGUAAUAUCUC